ACGCUGGCGGCAGGCCUAACACAUGCAAGUCGAGCGGAAACGACACUAACAAUCCUUCGGGUGCGUUAAUGGGCGUCGAGCGGCGGACGGGUGAGUAAUGCCUAGGAAAUUGCCUUGAUGUGGGGGAUAACCAUUGGAAACGAUGGCUAAUACCGCAUAAUGCCUACGGGCCAAAGAGGGGGACCUUCGGGCCUCUCGCGUCAAGAUAUGCCUAGGUGGGAUUAGCUAGUUGGUGAGGUAAUGGCUCACCAAGGCGACGAUCCCUAGCUGGUCUGAGAGGAUGAUCAGCCACACUGGAACUGAGACACGGUCCAGACUCCUACGGGAGGCAGCAGUGGGGAAUAUUGCACAAUGGGCGAAAGCCUGAUGCAGCCAUGCCGCGUGUAUGAAGAAGGCCUUCGGGUUGUAAAGUACUUUCAGUUGUGAGGAAGGGGGUAGUGUUAAUAGCGCUAUCUCUUGACGUUAGCAACAGAAGAAGCACCGGCUAACUCCGUGCCAGCAGCCGCGGUAAUACGGAGGGUGCGAGCGUUAAUCGGAAUUACUGGGCGUAAAGCGCAUGCAGGUGGUUCAUUAAGUCAGAUGUGAAAGCCCGGGGCUCAACCUCGGAACUGCAUUUGAAACUGGUGAACUAGAGUACUGUAGAGGGGGGUAGAAUUUCAGGUGUAGCGGUGAAAUGCGUAGAGAUCUGAAGGAAUACCAGUGGCGAAGGCGGCCCCCUGGACA
rnacentral:rRNA from 1 species